CUGUAGCCAGUGGCUCCAACGAGGCCACUUCUAAGAAGCAUUCCUGCCCGACCCCGGCCGCCUCAGCCGCCCGCUCCGGAGCCCGCCCAGCCCGGGCUCUCGCCCGGCUUCUAGUCCCCCUGUUGUAGCCACGCCGGUGCUUUCGCAGGACGGGGUUUUACUCCUUUCAUUUACUAGACACUCGGUUUGGGACACCUGCAGAAGUCUCGGGGCAGGGCUGGCCCUAGAGAGGCGGAGAGGGGCGAUUGAGGCGUGGUUCCUGCCCUCAGAAAUACACAGACUGAUGGGAGGGCAGGCAGACGGGUGCUGCUUCCCCGGGUGGGCUAAGCAGGGUGGGCUAAGCAAAGGCCGUGGGGCCUACCCAGACGCGGGUGAGGGGAAAGCUGCGGGUGGAGACUUCAAGCAAGUAGAAGGGUGAGAAGGAAUGUUUCAGGUCAGAAUCCUCCUCGAAACUGUGACGUAGGCAAAACUUGUCUAUUCAAACUGUAGCUGAGAAGGAAGAAGACGACCAGGAGCAGGAGGCAGAGGAUGGCAAAGAGAGAGAGAGUGUAAGCACGCGGAGCAGCAGGCUGAGGAAGAGGGAAAAGCAGACUCACCACUGAGCAGGGAGCCUCACUGUGGGGCUGGACAUGAUGCUGGACGUGGGGCUAGACAUGGGGCUUGACACAGGUCUGGACGCGGAGCUGGACUCAAGGCUCUAUCCUACGACCCUAAGAUGAUGACCCCAGCCCAAACCAGGAGUCCAAAGCUUAACCAACUGAGCCAUCGAGGCACCCCUCUUGCUCACCUUUAAUACGGGAUUUGAAAGAAGGUAUUAAACCAA